AGAAUAUCCAAAUCCUGAGGCGAAAAGGGAGGCUGGGAAAGCCACCCGGCACUCUGAGAGAAAACGGAACGUGGUCACGUGUACGUGGUUCACGUUACGGGAGAACCACUUCCCUGAUAAGUUUCAGCCUUGAGGUAUGCAUAUGGAUGACGUAUCUGAAAUCAAGCCCACCUGAUGGCAAUCUCGGUCCUCCACCGUUCGCUGGGUCCUGGCCAGCACAGCGCUGGUAUCUCGCCGCAGGGCGUGGAGGUCUGACAGACUGGCGGGCAGGGAGGGUGUUGAGACUGUGGCUUCACUCCACCGUUUCUCGGUAUCAAUCUCACCUACACGGGUGUCUGUUUCUCUGAAGUAAACCUGGGGAAGCGUGUCACUCACGUUGCCUUUGUCUUCACGGUCUGUCUGCCGCUGGGCCCCAGACAGAGAACAGCAGAUCAACGUCCACAGGACCCCUGCGUCACAUACAGCAGAAUGCUUCUUCAGCUACUGACCGCGGUCAGCAUGCAGGGACUCUGACCCACCUCUAGGAGGGGCCUGAUUGGGAAGAGACACGGGCUACCCUCUAGAGACAUGUCUCUCCUCCUCUAGCCCCCGGGCGAUGCUUGGCCAAUCACACACUACCAAUUGGAGCCUGCCGGUGCCGACCGGUUGUGACCCCCUGGCACUGACGCAGGGAUUGUAGUAGCAGGAUAUU